UCCCUUGUGGCUCAGAUGGUAAAGCGUCUGCCUUCAAUGCAGGGGACCCGGGUUAGAUCCCUGGGUCGGGAA
rnacentral:tRNA from 1 species